UACGGAGGGGGCAAGCGUUAUUCGGAAUUAUUGGGCGUAAAGGGUGCGUAGGUGAGUUGGUAAGUCAGUGGUGAAAUCCCCGAGCUUAACUUGGGAACUGCCAUUGAUACUAUCAGUCUUGAAUAUUGUGGAGGUUAGCGGAAUAUGUCAUGUAGCGGUGAAAUGCUUAGAUAUGACAUAGAACACCAAUUGCGAAGGCAGCUGGCUACGCAUAUAUUGACACUGAGGCACGAAAGCGUGGGGAUCAAACAGG
rnacentral:rRNA from 1 species